rnacentral:rRNA from 1 species
UACGUAGGGUGCAAGCGUUAUCCGGAAUUAUUGGGCGUAAAGAGCUCGUAGGCGGUUUGUCGCGUCUGCUGUGAAAACUGGAGGCUCAACCUCGGGCCUGCAGUGGGUACGGGCAGACUAGAGUGCGGUAGGGGAGAUUGGAAUUCCUGGUGUAGCGGUGGAAUGCGCAGAUAUCAGGAGGAACACCGAUGGCGAAGGCAGAUCUCUGGGCCGUAACUGACGCCGAGGAGCGAAAGCGUGGGGAGCGAACAGG